rnacentral:lncRNA from 1 species
UUCACCAUAAUUCAAACCAUAAUAAAAGAAACUAUGAUUCUGCAUACGAAACUAUGAAAUAAAUACAUUAAAUACCAUACUACAUUUAAUACUGAAAAAUAGAUCAACCAACAAUAUAUCAGAUUCGAGCUCCAUUGGCAACCUCAAUCAAUUAUAAAUAUCUAUAAAGUCAUAAAAUACCGUUUAAUUAUUUAUUAAGCUUUAAUGCCGUGAUAGGAGAUAGGAUGAGAGAUCCUUACUUUUCAGAGUUUGAAAUCGGCU